rfam:Terrisporobacter sp. 08-306576 Contig099, whole genome shotgun sequence.
UUUGGUUAUUAUAGCAAAGAGGAUACACCUGUUCCCAUUCCGAACACAGAAGUUAAGCUCUUGAGCGCUGAUGGUACUUGGAGGGCGACCUCCUGGGAGAGUAGGACGUAGCCAAAU